rnacentral:rRNA from 1 species
AGUAACGGAGGAGUGGGAUGACGUCAAGUCAGCAUGGCCUUUAUAUCCAGGGCUACACACACGCUACAAUGGGAAGGGACAAUAGGUUGCGAAGCCGCGAGGCGGAGCCAAUCCAGCAAAACUUCCCUCAGUUCAGAUUGCAGGCUGCAACUCGCCUGCAUGAAGUUGGAGUUGCUAGUAAACGCAGGUCAGCCAUACUGCGUUGAAUACGUUCCCGGGGCUU